AGGCUUGGUUGAACCGUGCAGAUACCUUCUCGAAACAAAAGAUUUUCCUACCUGCUUAUACUUGGUAACCGAGGGAAUUACUAAGACUUCUUGCUCAUUUCUGAGUAUUGUCUUUAUAUCCUGACACUAUGAAUGCUACUUGGAUGCCUCUUAAGUCUGUUCUCUGGGGAGGCAGUAAGGGGCCGUGGAGCUGGCCUCGGCCUCGGCAUCGGGAGAGGCUGGACUUCCUGUCUCUCUGUGCUGAAUGGCUGCGAUGGCGCCCGCUCUCACUGACGCAGCAGCUGAAGCACACCAUAUCCGGUUCAAACUGGCUCCCCCAUCCUCUACCUUGUCCCCUGGCAGUGCCGAAAAUAACGGCAACGCCAACAUCCUUAUUGCUGCCAACGGAACCAAAAGAAAAGCCAUUGCUGCAGAGGAUCCCAGCCUAGAUUUCCGAAAUAAUCCUACCAAGGAAGACUUGGGAAAGCUGCAACCACUGGUGGCAUCUUAUCUCUGCUCUGAUGUAACAUCUGUUCCCUCAAAGGAGUCUUUGAAGUUGCAAGGGGUCUUCAGCAAGCAGACAGUCCUUAAAUCUCAUCCUCUCUUAUCUCAGUCCUAUGAACUCCGAGCUGAGCUGUUGGGGAGACAGUCAGUUUUGGAGUUUUCCUUAGAAAAUCUUAGAACCAUGAAUACGAGUGGUCAGACAGCUCUGCCACAAGCACCUGUAAAUGGGUUGGCUAAGAAAUUGACUAAAAGUUCAACACAUUCUGAUCAUGACAAUUCCACUUCCCUCAAUGGGGGAAAACGGGCUCUCACUUCAUCUGCUCUUCAUGGGGGUGAAAUGGGAGGAUCUGAAUCUGGGGACUUGAAGGGGGGUAUGACCAAUUGCACUCUUCCACAUAGAAGCCUUGAUGUAGAACACACAAGUUUGUAUAGCAAUAAUAGCACUGCAAACAAAUCUUCUGUCAAUUCCAUGGAACAGCCGGCACUUCAAGGAAGCAGUAGGUUAUCACCUGGUACAGACUCCAGCUCUAACUUGGGGGGUGUCAAAUUGGAGGGUAAAAAGUCUCCCCUGUCUUCCAUUCUUUUCAGUGCUUUAGAUUCUGACACAAGGAUAACAGCUUUACUGCGGCGACAGGCUGACAUUGAGAGCCGUGCCCGCAGAUUACAAAAGCGCUUACAGGUUGUGCAAGCCAAGCAGGUUGAGAGGCAUAUACAACAUCAGCUGGGUGGAUUUUUGGAGAAGACUUUGAGCAAACUGCCAAACUUGGAAUCCUUGAGACCACGGAGCCAGUUGAUGCUGACUCGAAAGGCCGAAGCUGCCUUGAGAAAAGCUGCCAGUGAGACCACCACUUCAGAGGGACUUAGCAACUUUCUGAAAAGCAAUUCAAUUUCAGAAGAAUUGGAGAGAUUUACAGCUAGUGGCAUAGCCAACUUGAGGUGCAGUGAACAGGCAUUUGAUUCAGAUGUCACUGACAGUAGUUCAGGAGGGGAGUCUGAUAUUGAAGAGGAAGAACUGACCAGAGCUGAUCCCGAGCAGCGUCAUGUACCCCUGAGACGCAGGUCAGAAUGGAAAUGGGCUGCAGACCGGGCAGCUAUUGUCAGCCGCUGGAACUGGCUUCAGGCUCAUGUUUCUGACUUGGAAUAUCGAAUUCGUCAGCAAACAGACAUUUACAAACAGAUACGUGCUAAUAAGGUAAGGGAUAAGUAUCUGAUGUUUUUAAAUGCUGCCGAAAACUAUCAAUAUCGCUUUUCUCACAUCCCCUCCCACCUCGUAACCCCCAUAACCCUCUUCUUAACUAUUGCAAAGUAAAUGGUUUAAUGACCUGAUAUAGUGGUUUAAUUUAAGAACCUGAUGUGGCUGCACGUGGUGGCUCACUCUUGUGAUCCCAGCACUUUGGGAGGCCAAGGCAGGAGGAUCAUUUGAGCUCAGGAGUUCGAGACCAGCCUGGGCAACAUAGUGAGACCUUGUCUUUACAAAAAUUACAAAAAUUAGUUGAGCAUGAUAGCAUGUGCCUGUAGUCCCAGCUACUUAGGAGGCUGAAGUGGGAGUAUUGCUUGAGCCCAUGAAGUGGAGGUUGCAGUGAGCCAAGAUUGUGCCACCACACUCCAGCCUGGACAACUAAGAAAGACCUGUCUCAUAAAAAGGAAAACACUAUUAGAAUAUAAUGUUUAAUUGAACAUAUAUUUAGAACAAAACUGUGUGGGUAUCUGAGCUAACAGGAAACAAGGAAAACAGACUGAAUAAUGCAAGCAAGCCAUUGAUGUUAACUGUCAUAUUUGUUAGAUUUAUAUUUGUUAGUUCCCUGUUAUAAAACUGCCACAUUUCAUAGAACUUAAGAUGCUACUGAUGGUAAGAUGUACCAUUAUUUUAAGUGCUUACUGUGUCUCAGCAAUGUUCUCAAAAAUCCUACCUUCAUGAAGCUUACAUUCUUGCAAAGUAUUUUUUAUAUUAGCUUGGUGUGGCUGAGCUCUAUCUUUAUGUAGACCCAUGUCUAGAAAAAGUCUAUUGCUACUAAAAAUAAGGGUCAAAAUGCCUUUUUGACCUUAGUACUAGUCAAAGCCUUAAGAAAAUGGCUUUCCUGUGAACAGUAUCCAUUAAAUUAGUAGGCCAAAAGUUGAAGGUUGAUCAACUGAUAAAAUGAACAGAAUGAUCAGGGUUUGAAGUGAAAGUUCUGUGGGCUAUCUAAUCAUUUAAACUUUUAUUCUAAAAAUGUCACUGCGGACUUAUAGCUUCUUUCCAGAUUGGAGAUACAUAUAUAUAUAUAUUCCCCCUCCCCCUAAAAGUUCAAUAGAGCAUACUUUAAUUGAGGGCUCACUUUUUUAUUCUUACUAGUUUGUUCCCUUAGGGUAGCAUACAAAUUAAAUCCUGAUUUACUUAUUUAAAAAUUAGCUGGAACAAAACUAAUAAACAUUCUAGGAUUUGGUGCAUAUUUUGCUUUCCCAAGUCUUCACAAAGGAAAUUUUAAAGUGAGAUUUGUAGAACUUGAACUGGAAUGAUGACUAAGAAUAACUAGGAGGUGACUGGAUAUGCCUGUACUGAGGAGAAAAACACAGUCUUUCUCUAUCAGAGACACCUCUUCAGUGUCUGUUUCUAGGUUUUUAUAGCCAGUGGUUAAGUGGGAAUUUCUAUAUUUGAGAACUAGAGUCUCUUAGUAACAACUGAGAUUAGUACAAUAGUAGUCAUAAGUGUUGCUUCAUCUUUUUAUAUACAUUCAUAAAUAUAUAUGUGGGUUUAUAUAUGUGUAUAUGUUAUAUCAUCUUAGUUCCUUGUUAUAAAACUGCUAUAUUUCAUAGAACUUAAGAUGCUAUUGAUUGUAAGAUGUACCAUUGUUUUAAGUAUGACAAAGAAAUUAUUUCAGUUAAACUAG
rnacentral:sRNA from 1 species